CGGCGUGCCUAACACAUGCAAGUCGAACGGGUGAGUUCCUUCGGGGAUCACUUAGUGGCGAACGGGUGAGUAAACGCGUGAGAAACCUGCCUUUCAGUGGGGGACAACAGUUGGAAACGACUGCUAAUACCGCAUAAUGUUUCGAGAGGGCAUCCUUUUGAAACCAAAGCUUUAUGUGCUGAAAGAUGGUCUCGCGUAUGAUUAGAUAGUUGGUGAGGUAACGGCUCACCAAGUCGACGAUCAUUAGCCGGACUGAGAGGUUGAACGGCCACAUUGGGACUGAGAUACGGCCCAGACUCCUACGGGAGGCAGCAGUGGGGAAUAUUGCGCAAUGGGGGAAACCCUGACGCAGCAACGCCGCGUGAAGGAUGAAGGUUUUCGGAUUGUAAACUUCUUUGUUAAGGACGAAGAAUGACGGUACUUAACGAAUAAGCCACGGCUAACUACGUG
rnacentral:rRNA from 1 species